UACAGAGGGGGCAAGCGUUGUUCGGAAUUACUGGGCGUAAAGGGCGCGUAGGCGGCCUGUUAAGUCGAACGUGAAAUCCCUGGGCUCAACCCAGGAACUGCGUCCGAUACUGGCAGGCUUGAAUCCGGGAGAGGGAUGUGGAAUUCCAGGUGUAGCGGUGAAAUGCGUAGAUAUCAGGAGGAAUACCGAUGGCGAAGGCAGGUCUCUGGGCUGACACUGACGCUCAUGCACGAAAGCGUGGGGAGCAAACAGG
rnacentral:rRNA from 1 species